rnacentral:rRNA from 1 species
AGUCUAUUCAGAGGAACCUGUCCUAUAAUUGAUAAUCCACGAUUUUAUUUACUUAAUUUUUAAAUUUACAUAUCGUCGUAGUUUGAAUAUUUUUUAAGAAUUAGGAAUAUUCAAGAUUUUAAUUAAAAAGAAAUCAGAUCAAGGUGUAGUUUAUAGUUAAGAAGAGAUGGGUUACAAAAAUUUUAAUUAUAUGGUAAAAUUUUUUUAAAAAAUUUUUAAAGUGGAUUUGAAAGUAAUUAUAUAUAUAUAUAUAUUAUGAUUUUAGCUCUAAAAUAUGCACAUAUCGCCCGUCGCUUUCGUUUUAAGAUGAAAUAAGUCGUAACAAAGUAGGUGUACCGGAAGGUGCCCCUAGAAAAU